GCCGGAAACAGGGUGUCCCAGAGGGAGUUUCCGACUGGGCGCGGUGGCUCACGCCUGUAAUCCCAGCACUUUGGGAGGCCGAGGCGGGCGAAUCACGAGGUCAGGAGAUCAAGACCAUCCUGGCCAACAUGGUGAAACCCCAUCUCUUCUAAAAAUACAAAAAUUAGCCGGGCAUGGUGGUGCGUGCCUAUAAUCCCAGCUGCAGCUACUCAGGAGGCUGAGGCAGGAGAAUCACUUUAACUUGGGAGGCGGAGGUUGCAGUGAGCUGAGAUCACACCAUUGCACUCCAGCCUGGGCAACAGAGUGAGACUGUGUCUCAAAAAACAAACAAACAAAAGGCUGUGGGCUGGGCACAGUGACUCACACCUGUAAUCCCAGCACUUUGGGAAGCUGAGGCAGGCAAAUCACCUGAGGUCAGGAGUUCAAGACUAGCCUGACCAAUAUGAUGAAACCCCGUCUCUACUAAAAAUAUAAAACUUAGGCUUGGCGCAGUGGUCCAUGCCUGUAAUCCCAGCACUUUGGGAGGCCAAGGCAGGUGGAUCACCUGAGGUCGGGAGUUCAAGACCAGCCUGACCAACAUGGAGAAACCCCGUCUCUACUAAAAAUACAAAAUUAGCCAGACUUGGUGGCGUAUACCAGUAAUCCCAACUACUCAGGAGGCCAAGGGAGAAGAAUCGCUUGAACCCGGGAGGCGGAGGUUGUGGUGAGCUGAGAUUGCGCCACUGCACUCCAGCCUGGGCAACAAGAACGGAACUCCAUCUCAAAAAGAAAAAAAAAAACAAAAAUUAGCUGGGCAUGGUGACAUACACCUGUAAUCCCAGCUAUUCAGGAGGCUGAGAGAGGAAAAUUGCUUGAACCCGGGAGGCAGAGGUUGCGGUGAGCCGAGAUCACGCCAUUGCCUCCAGCCUGAGCAACAAGAGCGAAACUCUGUCUCAAAAAAAAAAAAAAAAAGAAAAACCAAGCUGUGCCACAACCACCUUGGGCACGUGUCAUCAGGACCUCCUAAGGCUGUGUCAUGUCCUUGACCUUGGCAAAAUAAACUUUCUAAAUUGAUUGAGACCUGUCUCAGAUAUUUUGGGUUCACAUAGGUGUGAGUCACUAAGCCAGACCUAGCUCCACUUUAUACAUGAGGAAAAUGAGGUUCAAUAAUCUGCUCAAGAUUGAGUCAGAAUUUGAACCCAGGCAGGCUGGGCAUAUGAGUUAGUGCUGCACUGUAUAUAAACAGCUCUGUUACAGGAAACUCUUAACCCCACAGACUGAGGUUCCUGUUACUCACUUUGUAGCUAGCUAUACUUAUUUUUCAUAGUACUUAACAUCAUAAUUAAUUAGCUGUGUCAUUAUACAUUUCAUGGCUAUCUUCCCCACAGGAGUCUAAGCUCACUGUAUUCCAGUCCCUGGCACACAAGGGGGGCUUAUUAAAUAUUUAUUAAAUGAAUAUGGCCAAGCGCAGUGGCUCAUAUUUGUAAUCCCAGCACUUUGGGAGGCUGAGGAGGAUGAUCACUUGAGGUCAGGAGUUCGAGACCAGCCUGGGCAAGAUAGUGAAACCACGUCUCUACCAAAAAUACAAAAAUUAGCUGGGCGUGGUGGCACACGCCUGUAAUCCCAGCUACUCUGGAGGCUGAAGCAGGAGAAUCACUUGAACCCGGGAGGUGGAGGUUGCAGUGAGCUGAGAUCAUGCCACUGUACUCCAGCCUGGGUGACAGAGUGAGACUUCAUCUCAAAAAUAAAA
rnacentral:lncRNA from 1 species